rnacentral:rRNA from 1 species
AGCGAACGCUGGCGGCAGGCCUAAUACAUGCAAGUCGAACGGUCUCUUCGGAGGCAGUGGCGGACGGGUGAGUAACGCGUGGGAACGUGCCCUUUGGUACGGAACAACUGAGGGAAACUUCAGCUAAUACCGUAUGUGCCCUUCGGGGAAAGGAUUUAUCGCCAUUGGAGCGGCCCGCGUUGGAUUAGCUAGUUGGUGGGGUAAUGGCCCACCAAGGCGACGAUCCAUAGCUGGUCUGAGAGGAUGAUCAGCCACACUGGGACUGAGACACGGCCCAGACUCCUACGGGAGGCAGCAGUAGGGAAUCUUGCGCAAUGGGCGAAAGCCUGACGCAGCCAUGCCGCGUGAAUGAUGAAGGUCUUAGGAUUGUAAAAUUCUUUCACCGGGGACGAUAAUGACGGUACCCGGAGAAGAAGCCCCGGCUAACUUCGUG